rnacentral:rRNA from 1 species
GGGGGUGCCUAUAGCGGAGGGGACACACCCGUUCCCAUACCGAACACGGAAGUUAAGCCCUCCAGCGCCGAUGGUACUGCAGCCGAUGCUGUGGGAGAGUAGGACGGCACCCCCU